AUUGGCGGAUUCUGAUUCCACUGUCUUUGCUUGAAGUCAGGUUUGAAGUCAGGUUCAGGACGAGAUGAAGAACCAGUGAGUUUAAGCUGCUGAGCCUCAAACUUCUUAAAA
rnacentral:sRNA from 1 species